AACAGUAGUACUGAAGAUUUUGAGCGGCUUCAACUAAAGUAUCCCAAAACAAAAUGGGCGAAAGCCCUCUCUUCUCACUCCGAAACCCUAAUAAGCUAUCGGACGAUGACAUCGCUUCUCCUUCAAUCUCAAUGCUCUGCGGAAUUCUUCUAGAAGAUGGAUAUCAACUCUAAUGGGGUAGAUCUUUCACAUGAGUUGCUGAACAUGGCAUCAAAUUGGAAACAUUGAGCUCAUAAUCUGUCACGAAGUAGCCAAAUUUGUCUCACUAAACAUUGAAUACUUGUCAAACACUAUCUAAUUAUAUAUGGAGAGAUGGAUUGUUUCGCAGUUACAUGGAACCAACUUGUAUCAUAUUGAGUUUGUACUCUAUGUGAGACGUGGAUAAUUUGUAUUUGGAGGUACAACUGUUUUGUGUUUCGAGGAGGCAACUUUCUUGAGUUACUAAAGGAUUAUGAUUAUUUUUAUGCACUAA